GAGAUUCAAACAAAAUUUUGUUUUGUUGUAAUGUUAAAUUUAUUAAUAAUAAAAAUUUAUUUACAAAAUUUUGGCAAAACUAAGAAAAACCUAAACAAAUGCUCAAAUGUGUGAAUCUUUCAAGGAAAACUUACUUACUAGUUCAAAAAUCUGAUAAUGAACAGUAGAUUGAGAUAUGAGUGAUCCCCAAACUCACGGCUUCGG
rnacentral:lncRNA from 1 species